AGAGUUUGAUCCUGGCUCAGGAUGAACGCUGGCGGCGUGCCUAACACAUGCAAGUCGAACGAAGAGGCCCCUUCGGGGGUACUUCAGUGGCGGACGGGUGAGUAACACGUAGGCGACCUGCCCCGAGGCAGGGGAUAACGGCUCGAAAGGGCCGCUAAUACCCAAAAGGAUCGCGAGUCGCAUCGCGAUCAGAGUUACGGCGUCUCGGGAGGGGCCUGCGGCCCAUCAGCUAGUUGGUAGGGUAACGGCCUACCAAGGCGACGACGGGUAGGGGACCUGAGAGGGUGACCCCCCACAUUGGCACUGACACACGGGCCAAACUCCUACGGGAGGCAGCAGUGAGGAAUAUUGCGCAAUGAGCGAAAGCUAGACGCAGCAACGCCGCGUGGACGAUGAAGGCCUUCGGGUCGUAAAGUCCUUUUCAGAGGGACGAGUGAGGACGGUACCUCUGGAAUAAGUCACGGCUAACUACGUGCCAGCAGCCGCGGUAAUACGUAGGUGGCAAGCGUUACUCGGAAUCACUAGGUGUAAAGCGUGGGUAGGUGGUUUGGAAAGUUAGAAGUGAAAGCUCCAACUAAAUUGGAGAGGCCUUCUAAAACUUCCAGACUUGAGUGUAGCAGGGGGAAGUGGAAUUCCCGGUGUAGCGGUGAAAUGCGUAAAUAUCGGGAGGAACACCUAUGGCUAAAGCGACUUCCUAGGCUAUUACUGACACUGAGCCACGAAGACGUGGGGAGCAAACAGGAUUAGAUACCCUGGUAGUCCACGUAGUAAACGAUGGAAACUCGAUAUGGGAGGUAUCGACCCCUUCCGUGUCUAAGCCAACGCGUUAAGUUUCCCACCUGGGGAGUACGGCCGCAAGGCUGAAACUCAAAAGAAUUGACGGGGGCUCGCACAAGCGGUGGAGCAUGUGGUUUAAUUCGACGCAACGCGAAGAACCUUACCUGGGCUUGAAGUGCUGGUGGUAUCCGGGUGAAAGCUUUGGAGAACCGCAAGGUAGCCAGCAGAGGUGCUGCAUGGUUGUCGUCAGCUCGUGUCGUGAGAUGUAUGGUUAAGUCCCAAAACGAGCGCAACCCUUGCCUCAUGUUGCUAACCCUGAUGCAAAUCGGGGAGUACUCUUGGGGGACUGCUCCGGUUAACGGAGAGGAAGGUGAGGAUGACGUCAAAUCAUCAUGGCCUUUAUGUCCAGGGCUACACACGUGCUACAAUGGCUAUUACAACGGGAAACCAAUCCGCAAGGAGGAGUAAAUCCCUAAAAAGUAGCCUCAGUUCAGAUUGAGGGCUGCAACUCGCCCUCAUGAAGGAGGAAUCGCUAGUAAUCGCUAAUCAGCAGGUAGCGGUGAAUACGUUCCCGGGCCUUGUACACACCGCCCGUCACACCAUGGGAGCUGAUUGUAAUCGAA
rnacentral:rRNA from 1 species